rnacentral:rRNA from 1 species
CUGUGAUGCCCUUAGAUGUUCUGGGCCGCACGCGCGCUACACUGAUUCAGUCAAUAAGUGGCUUGUCUACCUGAGUCGAAAGGCUUGGGUAAUCUUAGAAACUGAAUCGUGAUUGGGAUAGACGAUUGCAAUUAUUCGUCUUAAACGAGGAAUUCCUAGUAAGCACAGUUCAUCAGACUGUGUUGAUUACGUCCCUGCCCUUUGUACACACCGC